GCCUUCGUGAUGUAGUGGUCAGCACACUCGAUGCGUAUUCGAGAGGUCCGUGGUUCGAGUCCCGGUGAGGGCA
rnacentral:tRNA from 1 species